rnacentral:sRNA from 1 species
UUAUUCGCUUCAGUUUAAAGGAUGAGAACCGACAGAGGUUCGAGCCGAGCGUAGCGAGACAACGUUGCUUUAGCAACGACCCGAAGGGCGAGCAUGAAAUGCGAGUCAUCCUCUCUCGCCGACCA